rnacentral:rRNA from 1 species
UCGCUAGUAAUCGCGAAUCAGAAUGUCGCGGUGAAUACGUUCCCGGGUCUUGUACACACCGCCCGUCACACCAUGGGAGUCGGAUAUGCCCGAAGUCAGUGACCCUAACCUUUUGGGAGGGAGCUGCCGAAGGUGGAGCCGAUAACUGGGGUGAAGUCGUAACAAGGUACC